UGACGUAUGUGUCUGGGUUUGUG
rnacentral:siRNA from 1 species